AUGAACUAUGGGAUCAUUACCCUCAUCCCUAAAGUUCCUGGGGCCUCAGACAUCCGCCAGUUUCGCCCAAUCACCGUGAUCAACAUGAUCUUCCGGAUCCUGGCCAAGGGGUACGCCAAUAGGGUGACCCUUCUUGCAGACUUCAUCACCCACCCCAACCAGUCCGCCUUCAUCCAAGGGCGAUUUAUUUUGGAUGGGGUGUUGGUCUUCCACGAAGUCCUGCACGAAGUUCGAGCAAAGCACCUCCGCGCGGUUUUCCUUAAGCUCGACUUCCACAAGGCCUACGACACGGUGCACUGGCCCUUCUUUCGGGAAGUAUUGCUUCGGAAGGGCUUCGACGACCGCUGGGUGACACGGGUUAUGCAACUUGUCACCUAUGGCCGGACGGCGGUCAACAUCAAUGGUGAGAUCGGGCCCUACUUCCCCACCUUAUGUGGGGUACGCUAG
rnacentral:rRNA from 1 species